rnacentral:rRNA from 1 species
UACGGAGGGAGCUAGCGUUAUUCGGAAUUACUGGGCGUAAAGCGUACGUAGGCGGCUUUGCAAGUUAGAGGUGAAAGCCUGGAGCUCAACUCCAGAACUGCCUUUAAAACUGCAUCGCUUGAAUCCAGGAGAGGUGAGUGGAAUUCCGAGUGUAGAGGUGAAAUUCGUAGAUAUUUAGGAAGAACACCGGUGGCGAAGGCGGCCCACUGGUCCGGUACUGACGCUGAGGUGCGAAAGCGUGGGGAGCAAACAGG